UACCAUGCAGUGAGCAUAAAGCGAACUAUUCUUUCGCCUUUUACUAAAGAAUACCAUGUGCUUGCUGCAUUAAGUGGCAUACGUUUAUUUUUUACUUGAGUUAUCGACUAUAUAG